CGAGAGAGAGAGGUAGGUCGAGAGAGAGAGGUAGGUCGAGAGAGAGAGGUAGGUCGAGAGAGAGAGGUAGGUCGAGAGAGAGAGGUAGGUCGAGAGAGAGAGAGAGGGUAGGUCGAGAGAGAGAGAGAGGUCGGUCGAGAGAGAGAGAGAGGUCGGUCGAGAGAGAGAGAGAGGUCGGUCGAGAGAGAGAGAGAGGUCGGUCGAGAGAGAGAGAGAGGUCGGUCGAGAGAGAGAGAGGUCGGUCGAGAGAGAGAGAGGUCGGUCGAGAGAGAGAGAGAGGUCGGUCGAGAGAGAGAGAGAGGUCGGUCGAGAGAGAGAGAGAGGUCGGUCGAGAGAGAGAGAGGUCGGUCGAGAGAGAGAGGUCGGUCGAGAGAGAGAGAGAGAGAGAGAGGUCGAGAGAGAGAGAGAGAGAGAGGUCGGUCGAGAGAGAGAGAGAGGUCGGUCGAGAGAGAGAGAGGUCGGUCGAGAGAGAGAGAGGUCGGUCGAGAGAGAGAGAGGUCGGUCGAGAGAGAGAGAGGUCGGUCGAGAGAGAGAGAGGUCGGUCGAGAGAGAGAGAGGUCGGUCGAGAGAGAGAGAGAGGUCGGUCGAGAGAGAGAGAGGUCGGUCGAGAGAGAGAGAGGUCGGUCGAGAGAGAGAGAGGUCGGUCGAGAGAGAGAGAGAGAGAGGUCGAGAGAGA